rnacentral:lncRNA from 1 species
AACUAUUUACAGAAAUGACUGUAUGGGUCAUUCAAUUGACUAUUUCAGAGUCUUAAGAAUUAUGGGUAAUUUAAUUAUUCAAACACCAAAAAUAAACUUAGGACAUUGGUUGAAUUUCUAUUGUUUCAUUUUGAAGUUUUCAACCAAUCACAACAUUUUGGUGUACACAUUUAAAAAAUAUUACCCAGCAUGCAUUAGAUUCUGAAGCAGCUAAUUAAAUUUUUAACAAGUUUUAUACUCAUACAAAUUAUGAAUGAAGCACACAAUAUACGACAGCAAAUAUAGUAUACUUUUAUAUGUAUACUACUUAAUAGUAGCAUAAUAGCAACCAAUCACAACAUUUUGGUGUACACAUUACCCAGCAUGCAUCAUAAUAGCAACCAAUCACAAUCUAAAGUAUGCUCUUAAUGUCAAAAAGUAUCCACUCCUAUAGGAAUUUUCAAGUGGCUUGGUAAUAUAACGACUGAAUUCUAUUAUUUUUCCCCCAGCAGUGGUUACUUUUCAGUGUUAUCCAGGAUAAAUUCCUCAGUAAAAUGUAUAAACAUACAAAAUCUAUAUGAAGAUUCUUUGAAAGAUCUUAAAUUAUAAUUUUUCUCAAGGAAAAUGUUAUUUUACUUUGCAGAACAGUUCAUAGCCAAAAAUGCACAUGCAAAACAAAAUUUAGCCAGCACUAGUAAUAAAUAUAAUGCACAAUGCAUUUGUAAGUAAAUCAAAAAUAUAAAUUAAAGUUUGGAUCACUUUCCCUGUUACUACAAUAUUGACAGAGGGGAAGUAACUCAAUUGUUAAACAAUCAUUCAUAAUUUAAUUUCAAAACAAAACAAAAAACAGUAAUAAAUAAUAUGGAAUGAUAAGGACAAUGAUCCAACCAUGUGAUACCAUCAUGCAUAUAUGGUUAUUUAAGGUCAAGUUACAAUAAAAGGGUUAUGUCACUGAUUUAGGUACCAUUUGGCAUACAUAUUUGGCUCGUUAACUCAUAUACUAAUGAUAAUUUUACAUCGUUAAUUAAACAGAAAUUCAUGUACCAUCAUUAUUUGGCUUUUUUUAAGAAAUACACAGAUUACAAAAUUGAGAUUUAAUGAUUUCAAGACAAAUUUUAGAACCUUUAACGCAUAUUUUAUGUGCUUUCCUUACAAAUAUUCACCUAUUUUGAAAUAAUGCAAUCAAUUAUAUUUCAGACAAUAAAAGAGAUGUAUGCAUUAUUUUUUCAGUUAUAGUUCAACCAGCCAAAGUUGUAUGCAAAAUUAUACUAAAAUCAGUGACAAAGCUGAUUUACCCCUCCAUGACCUUAAGGUUUUUAAAUCUCCCAAAAGUAGUGCAUAACUUUCCAUCAAAACAAAUGAAAAACCAUACAUUAACAGUCAAAUAGAUACUCAUAUUAGAUUGAUUGAAUGGUGUUUCACACCUUUUCAGCACUACUGUGUCAUUUUUUGGGGGUCGGUUUUUAUUGUUGAAUGGUAACAUCUGGUGAAAACCAACUAACUUCAGAAAGAAAACCUGACAAUCCUAGUAAAUCAAGAAUGGAGUCUAGCGCAACUGUCACAUGCAGGAUUGUAUACAUCUAACAAAUAUCAAAACCCAAAAAUUAUAAAAAUACAAAAAUACACCAACCAAAAAUAAAACACUUUUAAAGUAUUUCAACCAAUAACUUAAAAACAUGCAAGACAUAAGUAUUAAAAGGACAACUAAUAAAUCAGAUGAUGAGAAUUCUUUGUUUUGAUUUUCUGAAUCGCUAAAUGGUCCAAUUUCACAAUUCACACUUUAGUUUCCAAUUUUAGAAUUUUGGUAGACAAAUUGUGACAAUGUGAACAUAUGAACCUAAUGAAAAGAACAUAAGGCAUCUUCCAUAACCUCAGAAUUAGAAAUUCUCUUUAUAUAGUAAAUGUGUGAUGUACUAACAAUGUGAUGGUGAGAUUCCACACAACACAUCAUUCUCAAUCAAAAUCCUUGCUUUUUAAAUAAAUGUACGCUUGCGGACCACACAAUUCUACACACAUAUUUCUCAAAUUGCUUUGCUGCAUAGUCAGGGACCACAAUGGGUCCUCUUUCAGAAUUAAAUAUUUUCUUAUGAUAAACAUUCUAAAAUUGAAAUUAAAGUGGGAAUUUAGAAAUUGUCUUUUGACAAAUAAAAAACUAAAAUUUUAUAAAAACCAAUAAAAAUCUUAACAAAAUAGCAAAAUUGAGAUCUUUUGUAGUUAUAUUUAACUAUGAUUAAUAAACACAUGAACGAAUUAAAUUAUCAUGAGAAAAUGAAAUUUUUAACAAGUAUCAAAGGUUGACAUUAAAAUAUAACUGAACUCAUUAACAUUUUUAAAAAUAUGUCUUUUUUUGAGGGUCUGGAUGGGCCGUGGUCCUUCAUAUAUGUAUUUUCUUAAAUUUUAAGGCCAUAAUCUCUAUUCUUUAUUCAGUUUGCCAAUUAUUUUUUCAUUCUUUAUAUUUUAAAACAAUUUUUUUUAAUUUUGUUUUUAUUUUAGCCUAUUUUUUCUGUUCUUUAUUUUGUGGCACAUUUUUUUUAUACUCUUGGUCCAUUUUUUAUCUAUUCUCUAAACCCCAUCCAUAAUUAUUACCCUCUCAUAUGACUGAAGUACACAGCAGUCUGGAUGGGCCGUGGUCCUUCAGAUAUGUAUUUUCUUAAAUUUUAUGGCCAUAAUUUUUUUUAUCUCUAUUCUUUAUUCAGUUUGCCCAUUAUUUUUUCAUUCUUUAUAUUUUAAAACAAAUCUUUUUUAUUCUUUUUUUAUUUUGGCCUAUUUUUUCUGUUCUGUAUUUUUUGGACACAUAUUUCUAUACUCUUGGUCCAUUUUGUAUCUAUUAUGUAAACCCCAUCCAUACCCUCUCACAUGACUGAAGUACAUGGCAUUCUCAACCAAAGUUUACUUCCUUUUUUAUUAUGUGGUUAUUUUUUUCUCAUGACUAGUCCAAAGUGUAGUUAUACAUGUUAUAAACAUAACCUUGUCUUUGAUUCAGAUCAAUAUUUAAAUGGAGUCAAAAAGUUCACAAAUGUAUGAUAUAUAAACAAUAAAACAUUUAAACAAUUCAUUACUUUUGAAUACACAAUGCUAUAACUCAGCUUAAAAAACAUUAACAAAAUAGUACACUCUGAAUACACAACAUUAAUGUAAGCUUUUAAAAUAUCAACAAAUGUCAUAUUUUAC